GGUUCCUUAGAUCGUACCCACAUUUACUUGGAUAACUGUGGUAAUUCUAGAGCUAAUACAUGCAAACAGAGCCCCGACCGGAGACGGAAGGGGCGCUUUUAUUAGAUCAAAACCAAUCGGUGGCGGGCUUCGCGCUCCUCAUCGUACAUUUUGGUGACUCUGAAUAACUUUUUGCUGAUCGCACGGUCUAGCACCGGCGACGCAUCUUUCAAAUGUCUGCCUUAUCAACUGUCGAUGGUAGGUUCUGCGCCUACCAUGGUUGUAACGGGUAACGGGGAAUCAGGGUUCGAUUCCGGAGAGGGAGCCUGAGAAACGGCUACCACAUCCAAGGAAGGCAGCAGGCGCGCAAAUUACCCACUCCCGGCACGGGGAGGUAGUGACGAAAAAUAACGAUACGGGACUCAUCCGAGGCCCCGUAAUCGGAAUGAGUACACUCUAAACCCUUUAACGAGGAUCAAUUGGAGGGCAAGUCUGGUGCCAGCAGCCGCGGUAAUUCCAGCUCCAAUAGCGUAUAUUAAAGUUGUUGCGGUUAAAAAGCUCGUAGUCGAAUCUGUGUCUCGCGCCGCCGGUGCAUCGCUCGCGGUGUUUAACUGGCGUGUCCGCGAGACGUCCUGCCGGUGGGCUUAGCCCGGCAACGGGCGGCCCAACUUGAAAUCCCACCGCGGUGCUCUUGACUGAGUGUCGAGGUGGGCCGGCACGUUUACUUUGAACAAAUUAGAGUGCUUAAAGCAGGCUAAAACUUCGCCUGAAUACUGUGUGCAUGGAAUAAUGGAAUAGGACCUCGGUUCUAUUUUGUUGGUUUUCGGAACCCCGAGGUAAUGAUUAAUAGGAACGGAUGGGGGCAUUCGUAUUGCGACGUUAGAGGUGAAAUUCUUGGAUCGUCGCAAGACGGACAGAAGCGAAAGCAUUUGCCAAAAACGCUUUCAUUGAUCAAGAACGAAAGUUAGAGGUUCGAAGGCGAUCAGAUACCGCCCUAGUUCUAACCAUAAACGAUGCCAGCUAGCGAUCCGCCGACGUUCCUCCGAUGACUCGGCGGGCAGCUUCCGGGAAACCAAAGCUUUUGGGUUCCGGGG
rnacentral:rRNA from 1 species